GGAGGAGGGACCAGAGCUGCUGCUGCCGCCGCCGCUGCUCUCGAACAGCUGGGCAACCUCUCUCUCUCGCCGCCGCCUGGUUCCCGCCCAGACCCAGGCCACGCUCGACCCCGGGGGAAAGCGAUGCAAGGAGGCGGAUAUGUUUGAAACCGAUGUCCUCACUGCGGGAGAACAUGCAGAUUAAGAAUAGGUCUCUUCAGCCAUCUACGGAUCCAUCCCCAAGAUAGCGAAGACGGAGGACCAUCAUCCUUGAACUACGAGGGAUCACCUAAAACGAAAAUAAGGAUGCGGCAUGCAAGAAACACCUCCUCCAGUAGAGACUGGAUUGAGCAUGUCCAAAAAAGCUCACCUCUGUCCAAGCUGAGACAGCCUUAAAAGCUGUGUAGGUAUAUGAAACAGACCACUAUACUGGGUUCUGUACAAUCCAUUUUAUCCUUUCUAUUUUGUGUGGUGUCUUAUUUGCUUUUUAAAAAAGAGCAGAUAUGAAGAUUGCAAAGAAAGUAAACGAAUUAUUUGCUCUGACACUUCCCAUGCUUGAAUUCUCUUCUCAAUACAGGUAAGCAACACCUACAGCAUUCCCAAUAGAAAACUGUUCAGCCUCUCCCUCGAGAAUUCCAGAAAGGAAGAGCCAACUAUGUCAAUAAGACAUUAUUACACCAUGCUGUUAUGGCAUCAUAGCAAUGUAUUAUCCCUGCUUGUGUCUCAGAUUUAUUGCAUUACAUCAUUGCCAUGUUGCAGAGUCACUGAAAUUGUUUUUCUUCUUCUUCCUAUUGGAUACAAUCUCUGAAUGACCACUUUUUUCACAAUAAUUCAAUAACCAGCUCAGUCGCACUUUCUUCUAGCACUUUCUUCCAUGAACAAUCCAUUAGUGGGCACAGUAUUGGUGUGGCUGGCCAGGUUACUCAAAGGAUUUGCAAGGAAAUCCCUGGUAGAGAAGCCCUGGUAGAGAAGCCCAGAUCACCCAGAUCAUCCACUCCAGGUGGGGAUGAUUAAUUUUCCAGUAUGCUUAAAGUAGGAGCUAAGGAUCUACCCUGAACACUUUUCUUCUGUAGCAAUGUACUACUUUCCACAGAAUGCAGUGGUUCUCCGUCUCACUCUCAGAAAGAGACAGCAUGUGAAAAACGAUCAGGGUAGGCAUGGGAUGGGAGAAGACCUUCGAUAGCAUCAGGCAGCAGGAUAGCUUGGGUACCACUUGAGUGAUGCUGGUGAAAUAUGGCACUUUGUUCCUACAAAGAGCAAGAAAGUAGACAAACUCUCCACAAGCUCCUCCAGAGGGGCAAUGGGAUGGAAAGCUGCUGUGAAAGGUAGAAAAUUGGUGAAUAUGGCAACAAAGGUUAAAGCAAUGAUAUUCCCCGUAGUAACCUAUGGAUGUGAGAACUGGACUAUAAUGAAGGCUGAGCGAAGGAAGAUAGAUGCUUUUGAAUUGUGGUGUUGGAGGAAAACUUUGAGAGUGCCUUGUUCUGCAAGAAGCUCAAACCAGUCCAUACUCCAGGAAAUAAUGCCCAACUGCUCACUAGAGGGAAGGAUAUUAGAGGCCAAGAUGAAGUACAUAAUGAGAAGACAGAAAAGCUUGGAGAAGAAAAUGAUGCUGGGGAAAAUGGGAGGAAAAAGGAAGAGGGGCCGACCAAGGGCAAGAUGGAUGGAUGGUAUCUUUGAAGUGACUGGCUUGACCUUGAAGGAGCUGGGAGUGUUGUAGUAGAGCCUGUGAGUUACAAACAGUAGUAUGGGUGCCAGAAGGGGAAAAAGGGUUACUCGGGAGCAGGAAUCUGAUGAUGAGCAGCAGAGAAAGAGGAUUCGGGACAUACUUACAGCACCUACAGAUGAAGAGUCUUUUGAGGGAUUCUCUGGGGAUGAUGGGUCAAUGAGUGAAGGAGAAGAAGGAGACACCAUGGAUUGGACUAAGAUAAGAGAAGUGCAAGCUAUUUGUGAGGCACCAAAAACUAGUGAUACCUUUAUGGGGUUCUCUGGGAGUGAAGACUGGCAAUCAGGGGAUCCAACUGAUUCUUGGGGGAUCUAAGUCUUAACAGAAGAUAGAGGAAUUGGAGGGAGAGUCAAUGGAGCUGGGAGCAGCUGUGGGGGAUGGUGGUGGGGCAGUGGUCAGUUCAUCUUCUGAUGGUGAUUUGUAGAUAAAAGUGGGUUCAGGAAUGAGGAGUAUUUGCACAAGGCAAGGUGUUGAUGUGUGUUCGUGUGCUGGGUGCUGUGUAUUGGGAAAGUUUCUUGUAGUCUUGCUGCUGCCUGUUUCAUGUUUGGUAUUGGACUCGGAUCUGCAGUUUGGACCUGAACCGGUUUGGCUAAAGACGCUGCUUCUGCGGACACUGGAGUAACGCUGUUUUGGAUUCCUCCUGCUUUGACCUUGGACUUCGGCUGACAACGCUUCUCUUCUUGCAACUUGCUUUGUUAACCAUUUGUGUACUGUCCCUUUUUGUUUUGCCUUAGAGUGCUUUGUUUGACUUGUUGCUCUUUGCAUCCAGUUAAUCUGGAUUACAUUUCUGUUUACCUUUUGGACCAUGCCUGGUUUGGGUUUUUGAGUUUUGACCAAUGGAACUGCAUUUAAGUAUCCCUGCGUCCUUUUCCUUUUGUUUCAAUAAACUCUGUUUUGAAGUCACUUUUAAGUCUGGCCCUUUAAGGCAUCUGUGAUUCCAACAGGGGGUGGCGAUGGCCGACAAGGAGUUCUGGCGUGGUCUGGUCCAUGAGGCCACAAAGAGUCGGAAGUGAAUAAAUGAAUAAACAACAACAAAUGGAUGGCAGGGUGGAAACAAGUUUUUUUAUUCAAAGAAAUCUCCACUGCCAAUUUCAACCUCUAUGGUUAAAAAAAAAUUAACCUUUUUGUCAAUAGGACAUAGUUGCCUUGUAAGAAAUAACUGCCUAGUUCUUUUAUGUGAAGACAUAUAACAGUCAGUGAAAACUUCCUGAAGUCCCCCAAAUGGUUGCUGAAAAUUGUCACUGAAAUUGUCACUGAAGCUCCUAAAACUUCUGUUUCAUGUGCUUAAAAAGAGUGGAGUUAUCUGAGCACAUUGGUGCCAACACCUUUAAUUAGGAUUAAAAUAAGCAGAUAAGGCAAUGAAGAAGAAGUUGGCAUCUCACCCUCAAGGUUUAAAGCAACAGAAACCUUUAUCUCAAAUAGCAGCACAAAAGUGUACGAACAAAGCAUGGAUAUUGGAUGCCCAGCAUGUGAUGUCAUUUUAGAACGAUGUGCCAACUAUCUACCUGGCUUCCUAUAAACUUUGGAACAGCAUUAAUGAAAAAUUAGACUGGGAGCAUAAGAGACAUUUUCUGGUCAGUAAAAUGACCUCAUUGACAUGACAGGCACUCAGGAAAACAUUGAUACAUGUUGUAAUAUGUAAAUCAUAAUUACAGUAAUCUUGCUUAUAUCUAAGGUUUCUUACAAUAACAUCACAUUCAUCCUCAUACCAGUCCUGUGAUAUAGACAGGGAUGCAGAAGUGUGACAUUUUCAAUUUCAUUCUCCAAUUUUUAAGCACAUUCCAUUUAAUUUUCACAUAUGUUUGUACAAAUCCUCUAAAUGCAUUUCUCAUUUUGCCAAAUGCAUGAUCUGGAAGCAUUUCCUCAUACAUACCCUGUUUCUCCAAAAAUAAGACAUGCCCUGAAGAUAAGACCUAGUAGAGGUUUUGCUGAAUUGCUAAAUAUAAGGCCUCCCCCGAAAGUAAGAUCUAGCAAAGUUUUUGUUUGGAAGCAUUCUUGCCAAACAGAACACCAGAGCAUGCAGGAUCGGUAAAUGUAUGUACCAUAGAUUGUUGUACAUGGAAAUAAUGGUAGUAACAAGAAAUUCUUCAUAGGAUUCACAAUUUGUCUGGUUAUGCCGGUUUGUGAUGAUAACUACUGUACAGUAUAUAAUAAAUGUUCAUUUUUUGUUCAACAAUAAAUGUGAAUUCUUCUUCAUGGAAAAAUAACACAUCCCCUGAAAAUGAGUGCAUCUUUGGGAGCAAAAAUUAAUAUAAGACAUUGUCUUAUUUUAGGGGAAACACGGUAUUAUGGUUUUGCUCAUUUCCCCACGAAAAUAAACAUUGGUAAUGUGAGCUUUCCCCUAACAAUUGUAUUUUUGUAAGCUCUUUUAUUUAGCUAAUUUCUGAACACUUAAGAAAAAGUGUGUUCUGGCUAUAUAAUAAUACAAGUGUGAAAAGUGUGUAUUUAAUAAGCUCUUAUCUAAAUGGAAAAUAAACAAAAUUCUCCCCCA